AGGACGAACGCUGGCGGCGUGCUUAACACAUGCAAGUCGAGCGGAAAGGCCCUUCGGGGUACUCGAGCGGCGAACGGGUGAGUAACACGUGAGUAAUCUACCCCUAGCUCUGGGAUAGCUCCGGGAAACCGGGAUUAAAUACCGGAUAUGACUCCUUCAGACAUCUUGAGGAGUGGAAAGAUUUAUCGGCUAGGGAUGAGCUCGCGGCCUAUCAGCUUGUUGGUGGGGUAACGCCCACCAAGGCGACGACGGGU
rnacentral:rRNA from 1 species